rnacentral:rRNA from 1 species
CAGUAGCCGCGGUAAUACGUAGGUGGCAAGCGUUGUCCGGAAUUAUUGGGCGUAAAGCGCGCGCAGGCGGAUAGGUCAGUCUGUCUUAAAAGUUCGGGGCUUAACCCCGUGAUGGGAUGGAAACUGCCAAUCUAGAGUAUCGGAGAGGAAAGUGGAAUUCCUAGUGUAGCGGUGAAAUGCGUAGAUAUUAGGAAGAACACCAGUGGCGAAGGCGGCUUUCUGGACGAAAACUGACGCUGAGGCGCGAAAGCUAGGGGAGCGAACGGGAUUAGAUACCCGCGUAGUCCCUGUCUCUUAUACA